rnacentral:rRNA from 1 species
UGGGGAAUUUUGGACAAUGGGCGCAAGCCUGAUCCAGCCAUGCCGCGUGCGGGAAGAAGGCCUUCGGGUUGUAAACCGCUUUUGUCAGGGAAGAAACGGUCUGAACUAAUAAUUUGGGCUAAUGACGGUACCUGAAGAAUAAGCACCGGCUAACUACGUGCCAGCAGCCGCGGUAAUACGUAGGGUGCAAGCGUUAAUCGGAAUUACUGGGCGUAAAGCGUGCGCAGGCGGUUCUAUAAGACAGAUGUGAAAUCCCCGGGCUCAACCUGGGAACUGCAUUUGUGACUGUAGAGCUUGAGUGCGGCAGAGGGGGAUGGAAUUCCGCGUGUAGCAGUGAAAUGCGUAGAUAUGCGGAGGAACACCGAUGGCGAAGGCAAUCCCCUGGGCCUGCACUGACGCUCAUGCACGAAAGCGUGGGGAGCAAACAGG